rnacentral:rRNA from 1 species
ACACGACUCUCGGCAACGGAUAUCUAGGCUCUCGCAUCGAUGAAGAACGUAGCAAACUGCGAUACUUGGUGUGAAUUGCAGAAUCCCGUGAACCAUCGAGUCUUUGAACGCAAGUUGCGCCCGAAGCCAUUAGGCUGAGGGCACGUCUGCCUGGGCGUCACGCAUCGCGU